UGGAAAACUGUGGGGCAAUGG
rnacentral:misc_RNA from 1 species